AUUAUUUUGGCAGAAUAGUGCAAUUGAUUUAGAAUCUUUUUAUGUAUAUUUAUACAAAUAAUA
rnacentral:tRNA from 1 species